rnacentral:rRNA from 1 species
GACGAACGCUGGUGGCGUGCUUAACACAUGCAAGUCGAACGGAAAGGCCCUGCUUUUGUGGGGUGCUCGAGUGGCGAACGGGUGAGUAACACGUGAGUAACCUGCCCUUGACUUUGGGAUAACUUCAGGAAACUGGGGCUAAUACCGGAUAGGAGCUCCUGCUGCAUGGUGGGGGUUGGAAAGUUUCGGCGGUUGGGGAUGGACUCGCAGCUUAUCAGCUUGUUGGUGGGGUAGUGGCUUACCAAGGCUUUGACGGGUAGCCGGCCUGAGAGGGUGACCGGCCACAUUGGGACUGAGAUACGGCCCAGACUCCUACGGGAGGCAGCAGUGGGGAAUAUUGCACAAUGGGCGGAAGCCUGAUGCAGCAACGCCGCGUGCGGGAUGACGGCCUUCGGGUUGUAAACCGCUUUCGCCUGUGACGAAGCGUGAGUGACGGUAAUGGGUAAAGAAGCACCGGCUAACUACGUG